ACAGUAUUUCAUUCAGUUUCUCUUAGACUGGCUGGCUAGAGAGAGAGAGAAAGUCUAAUGGAGAAGACGGAAGUGCAAGAAGCUCUUCUUCCCGCCGACAGCUCUAAGAAUGGAGCUAUUCCGAUUCAUUAUAGCGAAUGAGGCCUGAUUUGAUUUGAGAAUGUGACUAGUUUUGGACUUACAUCGAACAUGAUAAUGAACAUCGUGUAUCUCUGUCAUUCGCUACCAAUUUAUUUAUAUCAGUCAUUGAUGCCUACUUUGCCGAUUCGUUUGUUCGAUCGCUACUGGAUGAUCGCAUAUGGCUCCAUUUGCAGUUUCCUGAUGUCUGAGAUUUCCUCAUUGCCGGAUGAUAUUUUAGGAGAAAUUCUUUGCCGAUUCAAUGUUAAGGAUCUGCUAUGUUUAAAAUGCGUAUCUAAUCUUUGGAGUGACCUCAUCAGUAGCCCGUAUUUCGUCAAAAUACAUGGGAACAGAUCGGUCCAAAGGAAGACCAACCUCAACCUUUUCGUGAGUCACGCGCGAACCAACAUUUUACACGAGGUGAUGGAAGAACAAUACUUUUAGGUUGAUUUUUAUUCCCUCGGCAACGAUCUUCACCAAGUAGCAAUUGACCACCCACCAUUGACCCGCGGUGUAUUCUGUAAGAGCCAUAACGGUUUAAUCUGCAUGGCAAGCGAUAUGAACGAUGUUUUGUAUGCAAUCCCUCUACAAGAAAGUGUAUGCAACUGCCUCAGCCGCCGCCACCACCACUACAAAAGAACGAGCUGUCUGAAUAUUACACAACUGGUGACUUUUAUUUUGAUUAUGAUGGGAUAAACGACGAAUACAAAGUGGUGAAAAUGGAUAUAUUGGGAAAGCAUCCAAUAGAUCGCCUCCACUUCGAUUAUGAUAUUCAUGUUUUUGAUUUGAAAUCAAAUUUGUGGCACCACGUAGAGAGGUGUCCUCAUUUGCCAAACUUUAAGGGAAGAACUGCCCUAUGUAAUCGAUCUCUGUUCUGGAUGUCAGGAGAAUUGGAAUAUAAUGUGGAGAGUUUUAUCGUGACACUUGAUCUUGUUACUGAGAAUUUUCGAGUUGUUUUAAAUCCCCAGUACACUGAUUCUCGAAUCUCGACAGAUUUGGACAGUUUUGAGGGAUUCUUAUCCCUGUCUUGCCACUACGAAUCAGACGAAGGGAGGGAGUAAGGAGGAGGAGGAAAAGGAGAAAGAAGAAGAUGAGGAAGUGUAUAUGCCAGGGUUGGGUAAUGCAGAUUGUUGGGGACCAGAGGAAGAGUAGAGAGAGGAAUAGAAAUAAAUAAAUGGGGUAAAGUAGUAAGAAUAUAAUUCAUGCAUAA